ensembl:snoRNA SNORD10 small nucleolar RNA, C/D box 10
GCUGUGAAUGAUGAUCCCCAUGCGUGUCAACUGAUCUCGGAGCCUGCUUCAGCUCCUGUCCCCUCGCUGGCGUUCUGUCGGGUGAAGGUGUGAUCAGGGCUGGAGGGCUCUGGGGCCGUGAUCAUAGCUUUUUAGACUGACUGC